GAUGAACGCUGGCGGCGUGCCUAAUACAUGCAAGUCGAGCGAACAGACGAGGAGCUUACUCCUCUGACGUUAGCGGCGGACGGGUGAGUAACACGUGGAUAGCCUACCUAUAAGACUGGGAUAACUUCGGGAAACCGGAGCUAACACCGGAUAACAUGUUGAACCGCAUGGUUCAACAGUGAAAGACGGUCUUGCUGUCACUUAUAGAUGGAUCCGCGUCGCAUUAGCUAGUUGGUAAGGUAACGGCUUACCAAGGCAACGAUGCGUAGCCGACCUGAGAGGGUGAUCGGCCACACUGGAACUGAGACACGGUCCAGACUCCUACGGGAGGCAGCAGUAGGGAAUCUUCCGCAAUGGGCGAAAGCCUGACGGAGCAACGCCGCGUGAGUGAAGAAGGUCUUCGGAUCGUAAAACUCUGUUAUUAGGGAAGAACAAAUGUGUAAGUAACUAUGCACGUCUUGACGGUACCUAAUCAGAAAGCCACGGCUAACUACGUG
rnacentral:rRNA from 1 species